rnacentral:rRNA from 1 species
CAGUCGAGCGAGAAAGGGGGCAACCCCUGAGUGCAGCGGCGGACGGGUGAGUAACACGUAGGUAAUCUGCCUUUCAGUGGGGGACAACGGUCCGAAAGGACCGCUAAUACCGCAUACGCUUCUUGGGGCUCCGGCCCCGGGAAAGAAAGCUGGGCAACUGGCGCUGAAAGAGGAGCCUGCGUCGCAUCAGCUAGUUGGUGGGGUAACGGCCUACCAAGGCGAAGACGCGUAGCUGGUCUGAGAGGAUGAUCAGCCACACUGGGACUGAGACACGGCCCAGACUCCUACGGGAGGCAGCAGUGGGGAAUAUUGGACAAUGGGGGCAACCCUGAUCCAGCCACGCCGCGUGAGUGAUGAAGGCCUUCGGGUCGUAAAGCUCUGUGGGGAGGGACGAACGUCCGGGUGUAGAGCCCGGGGUGACGGUACCUCCUUAGCAAGCACCGGCUAACUUCGUGCCAGCAGCCGCGGUAAUACGAAGGGUGCAAACGUUGCUCGGAAUCAUUGGGCGUAAAGCGCACGUAGGCGGCUCCGAAAGUCGGAUGUGAAAUCCCUCGGCUCAACCGAGGACGUGCAUCCGAAACUGUGGAGCUUGAGUACUGAAGAGGAUCGCGGAAAUUCCCGGUGUAGAGGUGAAAUUCGUAGAUAUCGGGAGGAACACCAGUGGCGAA